UUCUACAAAUAUUUAUAAAAUGUUAAGUUAUAAUGUUAAGAAAUUUCUUUAAAAUUAACGUUUCAAAAAUAUUGAUCAAUGUUUCUUGCUUACUGGGUUGUGCGCUGUCGGCCGGUCAUCGCACUGGUCAACGCACCAGCCACCUUAAGGAAUUUAGCGAAGCCCAGCUUAGCAACAAUCAUGCCACCGGAAAUGCAUAUUUGCGUUUUAGCAAUUGUUGUUAAGCUCGCGAAUAUUUCCCGCGCGCAGGAAUGACCAUAUAUGGUCAUGCGGAGGGCCCGUUGCCCUACUAUUAUACCAAAUUUGCGGCACUGCUUAAGCCGCUGCCGUACAGCGGCCCGCGGGAUCUGACAUUAGAUAAUCAAGCCGAUACGUACGGCCCGCACGAUUAGAAUACGAAAGAGUUCGGGACUUAGCCGCGGCAAGACCUCAAGCGAGCAAAGAUACGACGCGCUAUCUUUGAGUCACACGCCGUCAUCUAAUCAACUCUGUGCAACACGACGCGGCACCUUCGCCGACCGCAACUAUUGUGUAUUGCAAGAAGAAUAAACCUUUUAUUACAUUAUCAUAACAUCAUUGAGUCAGUGAUUUGUGGACCCUGCCAACAAAAGCCGUCUUCCGCGAGUUCCUACUCCUUGGGCAGCAACGAAUCCAUAAAGAUCUUUUGUCGCACCGUAAGGUACGGCAAGAAAUCAUUUUGUUGCACCGCAAGGUACAACAAUAACAUAACCUUACAUUGCACAACACACGCAAGCUGACGCGUGGCAGAGCAUCAAAACUGGCAGCCUUGCUGGCGACCCACGUAACUUACAUACACGGUGCCCACGAUAUUAUAGUGACGAUGCGAACGCCACACGGUAGCAGAUACACGAGAUGGAAUUUCAUCCCUUAUGCCGGCAUCCAUAGAGAUACCUACAAGGUUGACGAUGAUGAUAAUGACGACGACGUAUCUUAAAUGAAAUUUUCGGACUUUGCAUCACGAUAUCUCCACUCAUAGGGCAUGUAGAGUAAAAAUAAAAAUA